AGCAGCCGCGGUAAUUCCAGCUCCAAUAGCGUAUAUUAAAGUUGUUGCAGUUAAAAAGCUCGUAGUUGAAUUUUGGGUUUGGCCGAUUGGUCCGUUCUUGUAACGAGUACUGGUCGGUUGGGCCUCACCGCCUGGUGAUGCGUAAUGCCCUUUAUUGGGUGUUGCGAGUAGCCAGGACCUUUACCUUGAAAAAAUUAGAGUGUUUAAAGCAGGCUUAUGCCGGAAUACAUUAGCAUGGAAUAAUAGAAUAGGACGAUGAUUCUAUUUUGUUGGUUUCUAGGAGCAUCGUAAUGAUUAAUAGGGAUAGUUGGGGGCAUUAGUAUUCAAUUGUCAGAGGUGAAAUUCUUGGAUUUAUUGAAGACUAACUACUGCGAAAGCAUUUGCCAAGGAUGUUUUCAUUAAUCAAGAACGAAAGUUAGGGGAUCGAAGACGAUCAGAUACCGUCGUAGUCUUAACCAUAAACUAUGCCGACUAGGGAUCGGGCGAUGUUGUUUCAAUGACUCGCUCGGCACCUUAUG
rnacentral:rRNA from 1 species